GCUUGCACCUCUUGGUUAGCGGCGGACGGGUGAGUAACACGUGGGCAACCUGCCUGUAAGACUGGGAUAACUUCGGGAAACCGGAGCUAAUACCGGAUAAUCCUUUUCCUCUCAUGAGGAAAAGCUGAAAGUCGGUUUCGGCUGACACUUACAGAUGGGCCCGCGGCGCAUUAGCUAGUUGGUGAGGUAACGGCUCACCAAGGCGACGAUGCGUAGCCGACCUGAGAGGGUGAUCGGCCACACUGGGACUGAGACACGGCCCAGACUCCUACGGGAGGCAGCAGUAGGGAAUCUUCCGCAAUGGACGAAAGUCUGACGGAGCAACGCCGCGUGAGCGAUGAAGGCCUUCGGGUCGUAAAGCUCUGUUGUUAGGGAAGAACAAGUACCGGAGUAACUGCCGGUACCUUGACGGUACCUAACCAGAAAGCCACGGCUAACUACGUGCCAGCAGCCGCGGUAAUACGUAGGUGGCAAGCGUUGUCCGGAAUUAUUGGGCGUAAAGCGCGCGCAGGCGGUCCUUUAAGUCUGAUGUGAAAGCCCACGGCUCAACCGUGGAGGGUCAUUGGAAACUGGGGGACUUGAGUACAGAAGAGGAAAGCG
rnacentral:rRNA from 2 species